rnacentral:rRNA from 1 species
CCUACGGGCGACAGCAGUGAGGAAUAUUGGUCAAUGGACGCAAGUCUGAUCCAGCCAUGCCGCGUGCAGGAAGACGGCUCUAUGAGUUGUAAACUGCUUUUGUACGAGGGUAAACGCAGAUACGCGUAUCUGUCUGAAAGUAUCGUACGAAUAAGGAUCGGCUAACUCCGUGCCAGCAGCCGCGGUAAUACGGAGGAUUCAAGCGUUAUCCGGAUUUAUUGGGUUUAAAGGGUGCGUAGGCGGUCGGAUAAGUUAGAGGUGAAAUCCCGAGGCUCAACCCCGGCGAGCCGUUGAAACUGUCGGACUAGAGACGGCGAGAAGUACGCGGAAUGCGCGGUGUAGCGGUGAAAUGCAUAGAUAUCGCGCAGAACUCCGAUUGCGAAGGCAGCGUACCGGCGCCGGACUGACGCUGAGGCACGAAAGCGUGGGUAUCGAACAGGAUUAGAUACCCCUGUAGUC